UGAUAGGUCAGAGGUGGAAGCGCGGUGACGUGUGGAGCUGACUGAUACUAAUCGAUCGAGGACUUAACCUUA
rnacentral:rRNA from 1 species